rnacentral:rRNA from 1 species
CGGCUAAGAACGGGCGACGCGCCGGAGGAAUAAGUGAGGGGGUAGCGUUAAACGGAAGUACGGAGCGUAAAGCUGGCCCAGGCGGUGAUGCCAGAGCGAUGUGAAAGCCCCUGGCUUAACCUGGGAACGGCAUUGGUGACUGCAUCGCUGGAGGAGGGCAGAGGGGGGUAGGAUUCCACGUGGAGCAGUGAAAUGCGUAGAGAUGUGGAGGAAUACCGAUGGCGAAGGCAGCCCCCUGGGCCAAUACUGACGCUCAUGCACGAAAGCGUGGGGAGCAAACAGGAUUAGAUACCCUGUAGUC